UGCCCAGCAGCUCCUAUCUCUAUCUCCGCGUGGCACCGGCUGGGCUGCGAGCAACCUUAAGGUAGAUCGUGUUACCAACCUCGGUGCGGUGGGAGCUUCGGUCGUAGGCUGACAGGGAAGG
rnacentral:ribozyme from 1 species